rnacentral:rRNA from 1 species
GAUGAACGCUGGCGGUAUGCCUAACACAUGCAAGUCGUACGAGAGUUUUUAAACUCUAGUGGCGGACGGGUGAGUAACACGUGAGAAUUUGCCUUUAGGAGGGGGAUAACAAUUGGAAACGAAUGCUAAUACCCCAUAUGCUUUUGAGUGAAAUGGAUUUUAUCCGCCUAGAGAGAAGCUCGCGGCUGAUUAGCUUGUUGGUAAGGUAAGAGCUUACCAAGGCGACGAUCAGUAUCUGGUUUGAGAGGACGAUCAGACACACUGGAACUGAGACACGGUCCAGACUCCUACGGGAGGCAGCAGUGGGGGAAUUUUCCGCAAUGGGC